rnacentral:rRNA from 1 species
ACUGNUACCCGGGUAGUCCCACGCCGUAAACGAUGAGUGCUAAGUGUUAGAGGGUUUCCGCCCUUUAGUGCUGCAGCUAACGCAUUAAGCACUCCGCCUGGGGAGUACGGUCGCAAGACUGAAACUCAAAGGAAUUGACGGGGGCCCGCACAAGCGGUGGAGCAUGUGGUUUAAUUCGAAGCAACGCGAAGAACCUUACCAGGUCUUGACAUCCUCUGACAACUCUAGAGAUAGAGCGUUCCCCUUCGGGGGACAGAGUGACAGGUGGUGCAUGGUUGUCGUCAGCUCGUGUCGUGAGAUGUUGGGUUAAGUCCCGCAACGAGCGCAACCCUUGAUCUUAGUUGCCAGCAUUUAGUUGGCACUCUAAGGUGACUGCCGGUGACGAAACCGGAGGAAGGUGGGGAUGACGUCAAAUCAUCAUGCCCCUUAUGACCUGGGCUACACACGUGCUACAAUGGAUGGUACAAAGGGCUGCAAGACCGCGAGGUCAAGCCAAUCCCAUAAAACCAUUCUCAGUUCGGAUUGUAGG